AUUUUUAAUAAUACAAAUAUAAAUCUUCUCCACAGUAUCCUUUUAAAGAUUUUAUGCGAGUCCAACUGUCUAAUCUUCUGAUCUGCUUUUAGGGGACAAGCAGGCCUUCGCACUAUCACGUCCUCUGGGACGACAAUCGUUUCUCCUCUGAUGAGCUGCAGAUCCUAACCUACCAGCUGUGUCACACCUACGUGCGCUGCACACGCUCCGUGUCCAUCCCAGCGCCAGCAUACUACGCUCACCUGGUGGCCUUCCGGGCCAGGUACCACCUGGUGGAUAAGGAACAUGACAGUGCUGAAGGAAGCCAUACCUCUGGGCAGAGUAACGGGCGAGACCACCAAGCACUGGCCA
rnacentral:sRNA from 1 species